UACGAAGGGGGCUAGCGUUGUUCGGAAUUACUGGGCGUAAAGCGCGCGCAGGCGGCUAUCCAAGUCAGUGGUGAAAUCCUGGAGCUCAACUCCAGAACUGCCUUCGAUACUGGCGAUCUUGAGUCCGGAAGAGGUGAGUGGAACUCCUAGUGUAGAGGUGGAAUUCGUAGAUAUUAGGAAGAACACCAGUGGCGAAGGCGGCUCACUGGCCGGUACUGACACUGAGAGACGAAAGCUAGGGGAGCAAAUGGGAU
rnacentral:rRNA from 1 species